rnacentral:rRNA from 1 species
GUGAACGCUGGCGGUAGGCCUAACACAUGCAAGUCGAACGGCAGCACAGUAAGAGCUUGCUCUUACGGGUGGCGAGUGGCGGACGGGUGAGGAAUACAUCGGAAUCUACUUUUUCGUGGGGGAUAACGUAGGGAAACUUACGCUAAUACCGCAUACGACCUACGGGUGAAGGCAGGGGAUCUUCGGACCUUGCGCGAUUGAAUGAGCCGAUGUCGGAUUAGCUAGUUGGCGGGGUAAAGGCCCACCAAGGCGACGAUCCGUAGCUGGUCUGAGAGGAUGAUCAGCCACACUGGAACUGAGACACGGUCCAGACUCCUACGGGAGGCAGCAGUGGGGAAUAUUGGACAAUGGGCGCAAGCCUGAUCCAGCCAUACCGCGUGGGUGAAGAAGGCCUUCGGGUUGUAAAGCCCUUUUGUUGGGAAAGAAAAGCAGCAGGUUAAUACCCCGCUGUUCUGACGGUACCCAAAGAAUAAGCACCGGCUAACUUCGUG